AUGCGCUGCGCCGUCUCCCUUGGCGCGGAAACACCACCGUCCGCGCCGGUCUUCGUCACGUUGUCAGGGUUUUCCGUCUACUUCGAGCACCGCCGCCGCGCUCCUAAUCAAGCCGCCGCCGCCGCCGUCAGGCCGCCGCCGCCGCUUUUCUUUGGCCGCCGCCGCCGCUACCCCGUAGCCGCCGCAGCCGCCCGUCCACCUCCUUCGUCUUCAUCCAGCACCAGCCCGUUGUCAGCGUCACCGUCAUCUACCCCGACCACUUCGUCUACUCCGACCACCGUUGGUGACAUUGGCCCCGCGCCGAUCAACGCCGCAACCGUCGUCGAGUUCUUCUCUGCUGGCCCUCCGACUUCUUCGACAUGGCAUACAGCUCGUGCAGGUCCUAGUCUCCGCAUGCCCGGUGCUGGCAACACCGCCGCGUGCCUUCGUCCACGAUGUGUUCCCGGGCCUGGCAAGCCUGGUGCGGCGCUUCGUCAACUUCGUCUCCAUCCGUCUAUGCAUGCCCAGUGCUGGCAACAUCGGUGCGUGCCUUCGUCUAUGAUGUGUCCCCGGGCUUGGCAAACCCGGUGUGACGCGUUAUCAACAACAUCUCCUUUUCGGCGCACCACUACUUCGACACCACUGUGCCCAUGCUAA
rnacentral:rRNA from 1 species